UUCGUAGGCGGUGCGGCAAGUUGGGAGUGAAAUCUCUGGGCUUAACUCAGAGGCUGCUUUCAAAACUGCCGUGCUCGAGUGCGGGAGAGGCCAGUGGAAUUGCAGGUGUAGCGGUGAAAUGCGUAGAUAUCUGCAGGAACACCCGUGGCGAAGGCGGCUGGCUGGACCGCAACUGACGCUGAGGAACGAAAGCUAGGGGAGCAAACAGGAUUAGAUACCCUGGUAGUCCUAGCCCUAAACCAUCAGGACUUGGGGUGGCCCGCGUAGGCGGGUCGUCUCGUAGCUAACGCGUUAAGUCCUGCGCCUGGGGAGUACGGUCGCAAGACUGAAA
rnacentral:rRNA from 1 species